GCUAGGAAAAAAAAACAAAACAGUAACAGCCCCUGGUUAUAAACAUUAUUUGAAAAUGGGUCAAUUUUGUCUAUUUCAAUUUUGGCAAACAUUAUUGAAUGUCCAUUAUGUGUGAGGCUAUGGAGGAUGAUGGGAAAGUGCCUGAUAUCUAGAGUGGAAAGAGGCAUGGACCCCGAAACCCCAAAACCUAAGACAUACAAUUUUAAGUGGCAAAAAUGAAACCUAAGCAGAGUGUUACGGGAAAGGCUUCACAGUGAUAGUAACUGUCCCCUGAGCCUUAAAGGAUAGGGGUAGGGCUAGAAAGUGUUCCAUACUGGAAUUCAUGUGCCAUGUACCAGAGAUACAAUUAUGGCUGGCAUGUAAAUUAUCACAGGCUUCUAAAAGGGACAAAUUAUCAUCAUAAUGAGUUUGGGUUUCUGUAGGAAAUGUGAUCCAGUGAAGGUGCAGAAGAAUGAAAUGAGACAGUUAAGUGGCAGCAGUAUGUACAAUACAUUCCUGAGAUGAGGGACACUAGAUAGGAAGUGGUUUGAAGUGUCUGGGUGGGAGAUGAUCAGGUUCUGAAUUAGAGCAGUGGAGGUGGAAAGGGGGUAGAUUGGAGAGAUGCUAGAGAGGUUAACACACAGGGAAAACAGGGAGAACUCCUGUCCUUUGCUCAUCAUGAUUCUCUAGACCUGUGCUGUCCAGUACAACAGCCAGACACACAUACUAUUUAGCAUUUAAAAUGUGGCUCAUCCAAAUUGAGAUGUGCUGUAAAUAUAAGAUUUCUAUAUUUUCUAUAUAAGAUUCUAGAAAAAAAUAGAUUUCUAGACUUAGUAUGAAAAAUAAAAUAUAAAAAUCUCAAUAAUUGAUACAGAUUACAUAUAGAAAUUAUAUUUUAGAUAUACUGGGUUAAAUUAAUUAUUUAAAUGAAUUUUUUCUUUUUAAAUGCAGUCAUCAGAAAACAUAGAAUUGCAUAUUCAUUUGCAUUACUGGAGAGUGCUGCUCUAAGAAGAAACCCACAGGGAAGAAGCCCAGAAGAGAGGCAGUUUUGUCAUGAACACUUUGAACCCUUCUUUCUACACCUGUAUUCCUACUUGAGGAAGUCAAGGAGACAACUGGCCCCAUAAAUACCCUGGCACUUGUAGACACGUGCCUCCAGCUGAGUGUCUUAUAGCUCUUCAGUAAGCAGUGUUACACAGCACAUCAUCAUCAUCUAUACAUUCCAGAUCCCAGGAGACUCUAAUAUUGAGCUUGGGAAGGAAAACAAGUAAGUAUCUGGAACGUGGCAACAACAUAUAAUUUUCUUGGGUUCUAGACAUAUUAAAAUUUUUUACUCAAACUCAGAAAAAGCUAGAAGGGCUUGGAAGGACAAGAAUAACAAAACUUUUCAGAGAUUAUAAAUUAAACAUUGUAAUAAAUCAAAUUUUACAAAUGUUCUAAAUGAUACUUUUAUAAUUAAGUAAUUUUAGGCACCAGAAGAAAAGUCACUUCAAAGUCUGUUAAUGGUACCAGUUGCUAUUAAAUCAUGAAGUUAAUACUGACUUAAGAUACCCCAUAGUUAACCCAUGGUAAUAGCCAUUUAUGUUUGUGACUGGUAAGUAGGUAGAUAUACUUAGAGGUUAAUGUGAGGUUUUUUUUAACUUUUAUUUUAGAUUUAUGAUGGUGUGAGUUUUUAAAAUCAAAGAUCACGUCAUAAAAAUAUAGGGUGUGCAUUUUAAGUCUUUAAUGAAAUUUUUAACAUUUGAAUAAAGGGAAAAAUAAAAUUGCUUUCUUACCUUCAUUGAA